GACGAACGCUGGCGGCGUGCUUAACACAUGCAAGUCGAACGGUGAAGCGCCUUCCUUUUUGGUGGGUGUGGAUGAGUGGCGAACGGGUGAGUAACACGUGAGUAACCUGCCCCCUUCUUCUGGAUAACCGCAUGAAAGUGUGGCUAAUACGGGAUAUUCUGGGUCUGUCGCAUGAUGGGUCUGGGAAAGAUAUUGUUUCGGGGGGGGAUGGGCUCGCGGCCUAUCAGCUUGGUGGUGGGGUGAUGGCCUACCAAGGCGGUGGCGGGUAGCCGGCCUGAGAGGGUGGACGGUCACACUGGGACUGAGACACGGCCCAGACUCCUACGGGAGGCAGCAGUGGGGAAUAUUGCACAAUGGGCGCAAGCCUGACGCAGCGACGCCGCGUGAGGGAUGGAGGCCUUCGGGUUGUGAACCUCUUUCGCCAGUGAAGCAGGCCUGCCUCGUUUGUGGGUGGGUUGACGGUAGCUGGAUAAGAAGCGCCGGCUAACUACGUG
rnacentral:rRNA from 1 species